rnacentral:rRNA from 1 species
CGCCGCCGCGGUAAUACGUAGGGUGCAAGCGUUAAUCGGAAUUACUGGGCGUAAAGCGUGCGCAGGCGGUUAUAUAAGACAGAUGUGAAAUCCCCGGGCUCAACCUGGGAACUGCAUUUGUGACUGUAUAGCUAGAGUACGGCAGAGGGGGAUGGAAUUCCGCGUGUAGCAGUGAAAUGCGUAGAUAUGCGGAGGAACACCGAUGGCGAAGGCAAUCCCCUGGGCCUGUACUGACGCUCAUGCACGAAAGCGUGGGGAGCAAACAGGAUUAGAUACCCCUGUAGUCUCUGUCUCUUAUACA